AGAACGAACGCUGGCGGCAUGCCUAAUACACGCAAGUCGAACGAACACUUCGGUGUUAGUGGCGCACGGGUGCGUAACGCGUGGGAAUCUGCCCUUGGGUUCGGAAUAACAGUUGGAAACGACUGCUAAUACCGGACGAUAUCGAAAGAUCAAAGAUUUAUCGCCCAGGGAUGAGCCCGCGUAGGAUUAGCUAGUUGGUAGGGUAAAGGCCUACCAAGGCUACGAUCCGUAACUGGUCUGAGAGGAUGAUCAGUCACACUGGAACUGAGACACGGUCCAGACUCCUACGGGAGGCAGCAGUGGGGAAUAUUGGACAAUGGGCGAAAGCCUGAUCCAGCCAUGCCGCGUGUGUGAAGAAGGUCUUCGGGAUUGUAAAGCACUUUAAGUUGGGAGGAAGGGCAGUUAACCUAAUACGUUAGUGUUUUGACGUUACGACAGAAUAAGCACCGGCUAACUCUGUGCCAGCAGCCGC
rnacentral:rRNA from 1 species